rnacentral:rRNA from 1 species
UACGUAGGGUGCAAGCGUUAAUCGGAAUUACUGGGCGUAAAGCGUGCGCAGGCGGUUUUGUAAGUCUGUCGUGAAAUCCCCGGGCUCAACCUGGGAACUGCAUUUGUGACUGCAUCGCUGGAGUGCGGCAGAGGGGGGAUGGAAUUCCGCGUGUAGCAGUGAAAUGCGUAGAUAUGCGGAGGAACACCGAUGGCGAAGGCAAUCCCCUGGGCCUGCACUGACGCUCAUGCACGAAAGCGUGGGGGAGCAAACAGG